rnacentral:tRNA from 1 species
GCCCGGAUGGCCCAGCGGUUACGGCGGCGGAUUGCUAAUCCGCUUUCCCUUGUGGAUUCCCAGGUUCGAAUCCUGGUCCGGGCG